AUUGAACGCUGGCGGAAUGCUUUACACAUGCAAGUCGAGCGGCAGCGCGGGGCAACCUGGCGGCGAGCGGCGAACGGGUGAGUAACAUAUCGGAACGUACCCAGUCGUGGGGGAUAACUAUCCGAAAGGAUAGCUAAUACCGCAUACGACCUGAGGGUGAAAGCGGGGGACCGAAAGGCCUCGCGCGAUUGGAGCGGCCGAUAUCAGAUUAGCUAGUUGGUGAGGUAAAGGCUCACCAAGGCGACGAUCCGUAGCUGGUCUGAGAGGACGAUCAGCCACACUGGGACUGAGACACGGCCCAGACUCCUACGGGAGGCAGCAGUUAGGAAUCUUGCGCAAUGGGGGAAACCCUGACGCAGCCAUGCCGCGUGAAUGAUGAAGGUCUUAGGAUUGUAAAAUUCUUUCAGCGGGGACGAUAAUGACGGUACCCGCAGAAGAAGCACCGGCUAACUCCGUG
rnacentral:rRNA from 1 species